UGCUUCAUAUAAUUGAAACGCUUUUAUACUGCACUAUCACUAUUCACUAGAGUAUUAACUGCUUAUUGCUUCAGAAAAACGAUGAAAAGUGAAACCUCAUGUUGCUCAAUUCACCAAUUACUACUUCGCCGCCCUACUGCACCACCGUCAGCCCAUCUCCCCACUGUCGUUCCACCACCACACUGCUGAACAUCACUUCACCGCACCGCACCGCUACACCACCACUGCACUUUCCAGUUAUCAGGCACUUUUACUAAGUCAUCCAAAGAAAGACAUGGUGACAUUGCAGAAUACCAGCCAUUUAUAAAUAUAUUGACAAAGCUAAUGAUCGACAAGCUUAGGGGAAGAUGGAUUUCAUAUGUUACCGGAUGUCAUCAACCAAAUGACGACAUUGAUGAUUUAUCUGGAUUAAAGAUCUAUAAUAUUGGUAUAUCUAAGCUAGAUUAUACAUUUUAAUUUUUUUUUUAUCAACAUCAAUAAGAAAGGUGUU